rnacentral:rRNA from 1 species
AUGGCUGGCUUUUCAACAGCAACCACCUGUGCUCUCUUCAUCAUCUUCUUCUACCUCCCUGCUCCUGUCGUCUCCCUGUCCUUCAACUACUCCACUUUCAGCUCGGCGGACCAGAACGACAUCAAGAUCGAAGGCGACGCGUCGUUCAGCGUCGGAUGGAUCGACAUCAGCGCCAACAGGUUCGGUAACAUCGACUACAGCAAUGGCCGGGCGUCGUACAACGCCAGGCCGAUGCUGCUAUGGGACAAGGCGACAGGCGAGGUGGCCAGCUUCACCACCCGCUUCUCGUUCGCCAUCUCCGGCGACAUCAACAGCAAGGGCCAAGGGAUGGCCUUCUUCCUUGCCGCCUACCCGUCCAGCCUCCCGGCCCGCUGCAUCGAUUACAACCUCGCCCUCACCAACCAGAGCGCGGACGCCGUGGCGACCGGCGACAGCCGGUUCGUGGCGGUGGAGUUUGACACCUACAACAAUACGGUGGUGUCCGAUCCCCGUGAGACCUAUGACCACAUCGGCAUCGAUGUCAGCUCCCUCCGGUCGGUCAGCACGCUGACCCUGCCGAGCUUCGAGCUCACGGACAACCUGACCGCUGUCAUCGAGUACGACAAUGUUAGCAGCAUCUUGGCGGUGACGGUAUGGGUCGGUGAUGAUAGAUCCGGCCAAGCGAGGAACCGGAAUUACAGCCUUAGCUCCAAGGUUGACCUCAAGAGCGCACUGCCGGAGCAGGUCUCCGUUGGCUUCUCCGCGUCCACAUCCAACGCCAUCGAACUGCAUCAGCUACGCUCUUGGUCCUUCAGCUCUUCGUUGGAACCGCCGCCGCCACCAUCACCACCGUCAGUACCAACAUCCUCCCCGUCAAGGCCGGGCCCUGGAGUUAUAGCCGGGGCAGCUGCUGGCGCGACAUUGUUCCUCGUGCUCCUCUUUGCUGCGACAGCAGCACUAGUAGUGCGGCGCCGCCAUCGCCAGAGAAUCGUGGAGACAGAGGAGCACUACACAGACUCGGAAGGCGAAGGUGACCCGAUGACGGAGAUUGAGAUGGGGACAGGGCCAAGGCGAUUCCCAUACCAAGAGCUUGUGGAAGCGACCAGGAACUUCGCCGCGGAGGAGAAGCUUGGGCAAGGUGGCUUUGGUGCGGUUUACCGAGGCUACCUGAGAGAGCCAGCUGGGCUUGCUGUGGCCAUCAAGAGGUUCUCCAAGCAUGAGUCCUCCCUGCAAGGAAAGAGGGAAUACAAGUCGGAGAUCAAGGUGAUAAGCAGGCUGCGCCACCGGAACCUGGUGCAGCUCCUCGGUUGGUGCCAUGGCCGAGAGGAGCUCCUGCUGGUCUACGAGCUCAUGCCGAACCGCAGCCUCGACAUCCAUCUCCAUGGCAAGCAGGCGGGCACCUUCCUCACUUGGCCGAUGAGGAUGAAGAUAUUGCUGGAGCUUGGGUCUGCACUGCUGUACCUCCACGAGGAGUGGGAGCAAUGCGUGCUGCACCGGGACAUCAAGCCCAGCAACGUGAUGCUCGACGAGUCCUUCGGAGCCAAGCUCGGGGACUUUGGGCUAGCGAGGCUUGUCGACCACGCCGCCGGGACGCAGACGAUGACCGCAGUCUCAGGGACUCCGGGCUACUUAGACCCCCAGUGCAUCGUCACUGGCAGGGCCAGCGCCGAGUCCGACGUGUACAGCUUCGGCGUGGUGUUGCUUGAGGUGGCGUGCGGCAGGAAGCCGAUGAGCAUGAUCCCACCUGACCAGGACCAGCAGCGCAAGAACGGCGGCGUCUUCCGGCUAGUCGAGUGGGCCUGGGGCUUGUACGGCCGGGGAGCCAUCCUUGAGGCUGCCGAUGAGCAGCUCAACAGCGACUACGACGCAGUGGAGGUGGAGAGGGUGAUGGUCGUCGGGCUGUGGUGCGCGCACCCGGACACGACCGCGCGGCCGACCAUCAGGGAAGCCAUGGCCACGCUCCACAACUGCAGCCAGCUGCCCGUGCUCCCCUCCAAGAUGCCAGUGCCGACGUACGCAGCGCCGCCGCUUGCCUUCGGUGACGAAGUUGGGCUGUCGACGUCGCUGACGUCGUCUAGCUCCAGCGUGCCGCCACCAACCUCUGGUACAACAAGGACAAUUUCCUCGGACGCUAGCACCUCGACGACCAGUUCAAACAAGCCAUCUUCUUCUCUACUGAAACAUCAGUACUAG